rnacentral:lncRNA from 1 species
AUCCAUCAGAGCAGAGAUGGAGUGAGAGGCCUAAUCUCACUGAAGCAUGAUUGAAGUCCAAAGCCAGCAAGGAGGUCUCCUUGCCAUUGUUUCUCUGGCCUGCCUUGGUUGUAUUUAUGCUCUCUGUCUGUGCUGCGGAAAGAAACCUACUAUGCAACAAGAGGACAAUGACCUCUAUGACCAAGAUGAUUUCAAUCAGGACAGUGAAUAUGCUGAAAGCAGAAAACGUACAGCAGUGCUAAGCCCAAACCAAAGAGAGAUGCCUUCAACCUCAAGGCGAUCACCGACGAACAGGCCUGUGAAUAGUAAGAAUUUUUCUUUUGAAAUUUGGGAUGUUUAAACUGUU